AGACAAACAAAUUAAAACAAGGCGACUUGGGUUUACUCAUUAUUCAUCACCCGCCAACUAUCCUUCCUCUUUUGACUGUCCCACCUCUCUAGACUCCAGCAGGGGUUUCAUCAGGGAGGGACUGGCUGCUCAGGCCUCCUGUGAUUGUAGGAGGAUUGUGUUUGUGUGUUUUUGUGUGUUUUUGUGUGUGUGUGUGUGUGUCUGUGUGUGUGUUUGUGUCUGUGUGUGUGUGUGUGUGUGUGUGUGUGUGUGUGUGUGUGUGUGUGUGUGUGUGUUCUUGUAUUUCUAUCCUUACGACGAGCCCUCACAAGAAUAGUGAGAUGAAGAAUUUACCAUGCAGACUAUUUUCAAAGAGGAAGUUUAAUAUCUAGCACUUGAAAGAUAAACCUUAGUAUUUGGAUUGGGCUUACAUUGAAGGAAAAGGGUCAAUUGACAGAAAAAUGUAUUGGCAACUAUUUUGAUAAAUAAUGUCUUCGUUUAAGCCGUUUUUUAAACUGAAUAUUUUUGAGUUUUGCACUGUUGCUCAGACAAAACAAGACAUCUGAAUAUGUCAACUUGCAUUCUGAGAAAUUUUCUGAAAUAGGUUAAUCGAGAAAAUAAUCCGCAGAUUAAACUAAUAAUUAAAAUAAUCCUUGCAGCCUUUUUAUGGUUUAUGGUUCUACAAAAGAUUUUCCCAUUAAAAUACCAGAUAGCCAAGGUGGCUAGGCUCAACAGCGAUGAUAUUCCAGCAGGACUGGUUGCCUGACCCUCAUCAGACUAGUCAUGAAUGAUGCAUCAGAACUGGCACAAGUAGGCUAUAAAUGGGCCAAUGGUACUGUACCAGUUUCAUUGGCCCAAACUUAAUCCAAGCGCUGCUUACUGGUGCUGAUUCUUUGCACAUUAUCAUGCCGAAAUCUAGGAACUCCACAGGGGUCAAAGCCAGCUCAUCUCAGCUGCAACUGGCCCGACUCGACUAUCAGGUAUAGACACAACCAUCUGGACCUCAUAGUGUUUGCUGCACACCAAUGAGCCAAACACAAGAAUGACCACAAAACCUCUUUAUGUUACCUCUUUCCUUCACUGUUGCAGGAAGAAAAUCGCCAGUCAAUAUCUCCACUGAUCACAGCCAAGCUCUUUCCUCAACAAUACGGAUCCCUUUAAAUCCCCAAGCAGCAAAACGGCCAUUAAAAGGGCUCUGCCUCAAAGCUACAGACUCCCAAUCCAUUCAGAGUCGAUGCACUUGA